rnacentral:lncRNA from 1 species
CUGUUUGCAGUUGCAACUACAUUCAUUAUGAUGUGACUUCAUCAUUCCCCCACCUUGGGCAUUCAGGCAUAGUUGAAGCUGCACGAGAGCUUUUUAUGCAGAUUGAAGGAAAUCCUGAAUUUUUCUGAUAUAAAGUUACACUUGUAAGUUUCUUGAUAUCUCCAUGUUACCUCUUCAAAAACAAAGGAUGAACUUGGUGAUGUAUAGUUAUAUAGGGAGUAGAAAGGAAAAGUGGGAAUAAAAUAGUCACACUAAUAUCUUUGAAACCAUGACAAACUUAUCACAAGAAACCAGAUAUGAUAACAAUGAAAUGCUUGUCUGCAGAGGAAGGCAGCAAAACCUUGGGUGAACCUUCCUACACCAUG